rnacentral:rRNA from 1 species
AUGAACGCUAGCGACAGGCUUAACACAUGCAAGUCGAGGGGCAGCACAAGGAGCAAUCUGAGGUGGCGACCGGCGCACGGGUGAGUAACACGUAUGCAACCUGCCUGUAAGCGGGGAAUAACCCGUUGAAAGACGGACUAAUACCGCAUAAUACUAAAUUACUGCAUGGUAAUUUAUUUAAACAUUUAUGGCUUACAGAUGGGCAUGCGCAUGAUUAGCUAGUUGGAGAGGUAACGGCUCCCCAAGGCAACGAUCAUUAGGGGUUCUGAGAGGAAGGUCCCCCACACUGGUACUGAGACACGGACCAGACUCCUACGGGAGGCAGCAGUGAGGAAUAUUGGUCAAUGGACGAGAGUCUGAACCAGCCAAGUCGCGUGCAGGAAGAAUGUCCUAUGGAUUGUAAACUGCUUUUGCAGGGGAAUAAAGUGCAUCACGUGUGAUGUUUUGUAUGUACUCUGCGAAUAAGGAUCGGCUAACUCCGUGCCAGCAGCUGC